UUCAUUAUGCAAGCAAUCAAACAAUGUGGCGGUAGUGAAACCAGAAAUGCGUCUGUAAAAGCUAAAAGUUUAGUGCUCAACUCAAAAUUUCAAUUCGCGAAUACAAUGUUUAUAAAUACAAGAUUCAGUCCUUCGCUACAAUUUCUUGGAUUGUUUAUUCAGUAAUGUCCAAAGUGGAAAAAUCAAGACAUUAGAAAUUAAUUUCAUGGAAAUAAGUGUAAUAGCUCAAAUAUGGGGAAACUCGACUGAUAAAUAGAAAUAAACUUACUUCGCAGCGAGUCCUCCACCAGGUGGCAGAUUGGGCAGGUCCUCGUCCAUAAGAUACUGGAGCAGUUGAAGAAAGUCGAAGCCCUCUUUGCCUUCCUGCUGCGCGACAAUUGCUGUUUAAACAACAACAACAACACAAUAUUAGUAUUUAUUUCGAAAUCGAACAAACAAAAAUCUGCACAUGCUUUAGAAAACAAUUUGUAAAACAGUGAAGACCUUCGAGCAACAUCUUUGAUUUCUCUCACGGAAGUAGUGCCUUUGACUUGGAGCCAAAAGUCUCAACUCUCUAUUGAGAAAAUACAUUUCAACAUCACUCGGAGAGAACUGGAGACGCUUUUUACUUGGAAAAUUAUUGAUCACAACACAAUAAAAUGUAUGCAUUAAAUUAUGCUCAAAUAUCAUAAGUGAACACAUUCCUCUAAUACUGUUCAAAUCUUUUCCUUUCACGCAACAACUCGGAAAAUAUUGCAUGUAGACAGUGCGAUUUCACGUUUCCUUUACUAUAAUUACUAUCGCUCGUUUCGUACAUAGCAUGGCUGAGUGAGACAAAACUAUUUAGCGUGACUGUUAUUAGCAGAUAGCGCGUAAUUGUAAAACCAAUUAAGAAUUGUGUUCUCUCUUGAAAUAAACGCUCGCUGUUACAACUCGUCU